rnacentral:rRNA from 1 species
GACAGAGGGGGCAAGCGUUGCUCGGAAUUACUGGGCGUAAAGGGCGCGUAGGCGGGGUGGCAAGUCGGUCGUGAAAUCCCUCGGCUCAACCGAGGAACGUCGAUCGAUACUGCUGUUCUUGAGGAUUGCAGAGGAGACUGGAAUUCCCGGUGUAGCGGUGAAAUGUGUAGAGAUCGGGAGGAACACCGGUGGCGAAGGCGGGUCUCUGGGCAAUUCCUGACGCUGAGGCGCGAAAGCGUGGGGAGCAAACGGG